UACGUAGGGCGCAAGCGUUGUCCGGAAUUAUUGGGCGUAAAGAGCUCGUAGGUGGCGUGUCGCGUCUGCCGUGAAAGCCCAUGGCUUAACUGUGGGUCUGCGGUGGAUACUGGCAGGCUGGAGGCUGGUAGGGGGAAGCGGAAUUCCUGGUGUAGCGGUGAAAUGCGCAGAUAUCAGGAGGAACACCGGUGGCGAAGGCGGCUUGCUGGGCCAGUUCUGACGCUGAGGAGCGAAAGCGUGGGGAGCGAACAGG
rnacentral:rRNA from 1 species